UUCAGCUGCAGGCUGCAACUCGCCUGCACGAAGUCGGAAUUGCUAGUAAUCGUAGGUCAGCAUACUACGGUGAAUACGUUCCCGGGCCUUGUACACACCGCCGUCAAACAUGAGAGUUGGCAACACCCGAAGUCGGUAGUCUAACCGCAGGGAGGACGCCGCCGAAGGUGGGGUUGAUGAUUAGGGUUAAGUCGUAACAAGGUACC
rnacentral:rRNA from 1 species